GUCAAGCACAACAAGAGACUCCCUGAGUUUAAACAAGGAUAGCCAAUGUCUAGACGGGGAGUGUGCUAACCUAUUUAGGAGGUUUACUUCUCCAAAUACCUCACUUGUGAUAUCAUAUGAUAUAAUCAGAUUACAAGACCCACCAUCCAUAGUAGCUAACCAAUAUAUAACACCAUCUAUAGAUAUUGAACAAAAACCAUCUGGCUGAUCAAAUUGAAAGCUGACCCAUUUACGAGGGAGAUUGCCACCUAGCCGUCUCCAAGCCCCUGUGCUCAAUGUAAAAACUUCAACUUGCCAAGGGAUGCAACUUGCAGUUUUCAUAUCGCCCCAACUAACAAUAUGUGUGAUCUUCACAAUCUUAGGGUCAUUAGUCCCACGACAAACCCCAAAACCUAAAACGGUUGCAUAUGUUUCCCCAUUUGCCACACUAGGCACAACAAGUUCAACCGUUUUUCUAAUAGUUGGAUUCCAAAGAGCAGCUUUGCCCAGUCCGUUAACAGGAAACUCACGGCCAAUUAGAAAGAGGGAAAACAAUCCGUGAGAGCAGCCUAUUAUAGAAUAAUACCCAUGAUCUUGAACCCGCGGAGGAGUAAUGGAAACUAUACUUCUGGGGAAAGUAUCGUCAUCAACAACCAAAACAAGAAGUACACAAGGACGUAUAUGUGGCACCAAUCAGCUUGCGCCGACCACUGCUCCAUGAUCUCCACUUAACUGCUGAUGAUAGACCAGACAAUGACAACCGUCAGGGCACGUGGAUCUAUUUAGCAUGCGCCAAGUACCCUCUCGCCUGGAAUCACUAACGGUCGUCACAGAGGAGGCAGGAUGGAUAUUCCUUGUUGUCGAUCUCAGGCCCGUCAGCCCAUCUCCUUCACAAUUCACCUCGUCUAUAAAUAAAGAACUUCACCUCCAGGUUUACGGAUCACACUUUUGCUCUCUCACUUAAUACACACACUUUUAUCCUCAAAACAAGUUCUUAUUCUCAUGCCGAAUGGUGGUUACAGGGAGAACUCCCUAUUCUCCUUGUGACGAGCUUCACGGUGUGUUGGUUGUCUUGCAGGAUCAACGUAGCUGUUCCGCAAGUUCGGAAGAAAAUUAACCUUAUUUGGACGAGACACAAACUACAAGCUAAUCUCCGAAUUAACUUGGUGUUUCUUCAUGACGCCCCCCGAUUUUUUACAACCACUUUUUCAUCUUCUUUUCUAAGCUGUUACUCUUGAUCUCAUGGCUGAUCAAGGUAUUCCUUUUCCACCUCUCGGUUCACACUCUCAAAUGGGUGCGGCAGCGGACAACGCACACUUCCAAAACCAGCCCAUUGACGAGUACGCCGAAGGGGAUAUCACAAAGGUUGGAGGCAUGCGCGCAAGCGGUACUCAUACCACCCAAACGGUGACUUCAACAAAUCAAGGCGUUAGCCCUUCAAUACCUGCACUAUCAGGAUUACCAGAGGGAGAGACCCCCCGCGUCAUGGUUUUACGCACAACUGUGCCUGUGCGCGUAAUAAGGGCUAGCACAAGCUCAAACACAACAAACUUCGACAGUGACACCAAUGCCUAGGCAACUGAACUAUGCGACGCCGCACCAAGAGCGCGCGCAGAGGCAACAAUACAGCUAAUCACCAUUACCACGAAGGCAAAGUGCUCACACCACGCGUGACACUUAUGACGAAAACAAUGGUUUCGUCUUAUGUUGGGUUUCGACUUAUGGUAGGUUUGAAAGAAAAGAUGAUUUGAGUUUCACAAAAGUUGGGUGUAAAGGGUAAAAUAUGUAACUGAUAUUAAAAAGAGGAAAUAUGUAAAUAUUCUUUGAAUAAGUUUAUUAAGGGUAAAAUAGUAAUUAAUAAUAGAAUUUUUAAUUAAAAGGGGAAAUAUAUAAUAUAGAUGGUUUAGGAAGGGGAAAUAUGUAAUAUAGAUGGUUUAGAAAGGGGAAAUAUGUAAUUGAUUUUGUGGGUUGGAUAAAUAUGCAAUAAGGGCACUUAGGAAGGGGAAAUAUGUAAAAAAAACCCUAAUAAAUAAAACACGACACGACUUGAAACGAGUCAGGUUGGCCCGCAAGCCAUUUCCUUAUGUUUUCUAUAUAUAAAACUAGGGGUGUUAAUCAUGUCGGGUUGGCACAUAUUAUUAUUCGUGUCAAAGAUUCUUGCCCUGAUCCACACACACAUAAAUACGGGUCAACACGAACACAGCCCGUUUUUUAAAUGAGUCAUGCAUGUUGACGAGUUAUAAGCGGGUUGUUGGGUUGUAAGUGGGUUAUCGAUAACGUGUUUAACGGUGAGUAUGAGUGUGCCAAAUAACAAUAUGGUGUGUCAAAACUAACUUUAUUAUAACUAACCGUGUAAAUGGAAAACAGAAAAAACAAAAACAUAUAAGUUUUUUUUCUAAAUACUUAAACGAGUUAACGGGUCAACCCAAACCCGACCCAUUUUUUAAACGGGGUCGUGUUAGUCAACCCAAACUUGUUUUUUUCAUGUCGGGUUUCGGGUCGUGUCAAGAAUUACCACCCCUAUACAAAACAACGUCACCUAUGACCAUUGUUUGUCACCAUCACCUAUCAGGACAUGUGUUUGACAUGAAUUAACCUUCACCAUACCUUAAAUACAGAAAAUGCCUCCAGGGGUGUUAAUAAUAAUCAUACAAAAAAUCCAAAUAAGUUGGCUGAAGAUCUUAUUAAGUGUUUAAUAAGAAUAUUUCAAGAAAUGAAUCAGUCGUUUCCAGACAGUGAAGAAGCGUCGGAUCUUGUACCGAUACAGAUAUCCUGCGUCUCUAAAACAAGUUCUAAAUGUACAGCACUGCUCGGGUCAAAUUUUGACCCGUAUGCGGUGUUAUUUGAUCUUGAUGGUGCAAUUAGAGACAUUGGUCCAUACAAGACUUUUAUCGAAAUUACACGAAGUACACUCGAUCAUACUCGCAUUUCUGAAUGUUCUAUUGAAGCUGGAGAAGUCAGGAGUUUGAUGCAGAAUCUCUGUAGUGUGAACUUGAACUUGCUGACAUAUAAGCAUGUACUGCGUUUCUCGUUCAUGGGUUACCUUCGACUCAGGAGAAACUACUGCUUCUCAUGAACACGGCGGUAGUUAACGUCGGAGGUGUCGUGGUCAAUGCAUUGGGCAUUGAGAAUUAUAUCCUCCGGAAUCCGUCAAACUCCAAUCCUGGUCUAGCAAAUGAGAGGGAAAUACUACAAUGUGACAUUUGCUCUUUGUAGAGGGAGUUGGCAUAAGCAGGUUCACUCAAAAGGUUGAUAAUGGUGACGCGAAAUUGAAUCCAGCCAAAAUGAUAGAAAUUCGGCCGUAUGUUUAUGAAUUUUGAUACUUGUUGCCUUCAUGAAAAAAAUUAUAGCGACGACGAAAAUGAAAAGGAGAAUUGUUGGUAUGGUGUCAAAAUAAAAUCAUCUUAAGUAUGUACUGAUUAUAUUAUAACUAGGAGGUCAAACUCAUAUGUUUUUAAGAAAACUUUUAAUUGGUUCCGUGUGUAAUUGCACAUAUGUUGAUUACUAAUAAAGUAAUUUAUUAAA